rnacentral:rRNA from 1 species
AUUGAACGCUGGCGGCAGGCCUAACACAUGCAAGUCGAGCGGAUGAAGGGAGCUUGCUCCUGGAUUCAGCGGCGGACGGGUGAGUAAUGCCUAGGAAUCUGCCUGGUAGUGGGGGAUAACAUCCGGAAACGGGCGCUAAUACCGCAUACGUCCUGAGGGAGAAAGUGGGGGAUCUUCGGACCUCACGCUAUCAGAUGAGCCUAGGUCGGAUUAGCUAGUUGGUGGGGUAAAGGCCUACCAAGGCGACGAUCCGUAACUGGUCUGAGAGGAUGAUCAGUCACACUGGAACUGAGACACGGUCCAGACUCCUACGGGAGGCAGCAGUGGGGAAUAUUGGACAAAGGGCGAAAGCCUGAUCCAGCCAUGCCGCGUGUGUGAAGAAGGUCUUCGGACUGUAAAGCACUUUAAGUUGGGAGGAAGGGCAGUAAGUUAAUACCUUGCUGUUUUGACGUUACCAACAGAAUAAGCACCGGCUAACUUCGUG